rnacentral:rRNA from 1 species
AGAGUUUGAUCCUGGCUCAGGAUGAACGCUAGCUACAGGCUUAACACAUGCAAGUCGAGGGGCAGCGGUAUCGGAAGCUUGCUUUCGGUAGCCGGCGACCGGCGCACGGGUGAGUAACGCGUAUCGAACCUGCCUCAUACUCGGGAAUAGCCUUGCGAAAGUAAGAUUAAUGCCCGGUGUUUUCAGAGUCCCGCAUGAGGCUUUGAACAAAGAUUUAUCGGUAUGAGAUGGCGAUGCGUCCCAUUAGCUUGUUGGCGGGGUAACGGCCCACCAAGGCAUCGAUGGGUAGGGGUUCUGAGAGGAAGGUCCCCCACAUUGGAACUGAGACACGGUCCAAACUCCUACGGGAGGCAGCAGUGAGGAAUAUUGGUCAAUGGGCGGAAGCCUGAACCAGCCAAGUAGCGUGCAGGAAGACGGCCCUCCGGGUUGUAAACUGCUUUUAGUUGGGAAUAAAACGGGGCUCGUGAGCCCCCUUGCAUGUACCAUCAGAAAAAGGACCGGCUAAUUCCGUGCCAGCAGCCGCGGUAAUACGGAAGGUCCGGGCGUUAUCCGGAUUUAUUGGGUUUAAAGGGAGCGCAGGCGGACCUUUAAGUCAGCUGUGAAAUACGGCGGCUCAACCGUCGAACUGCAGUUGAUACUGGAGGUCUUGAGUGCACACAGGGAUGCUGGAAUUCAUGGUGUAGCGGUGAAAUGCUCAGAUAUCAUGAAGAACUCCGAUCGCGAAGGCAGGCAUCCGGGGUGCAACUGACGCUGAGGCUCGAAAGUGCGGGUAUCAAACAGGAUUAGAUACCCUGGUAGUCCGCACAGUAAACGAUGAAUACUCGCGGUUUGCGAUACAGUGUAAGCCGCCAAGCGAAAGCGUUAAGUAUUCCACCUGGGGAGUACGCCGGCAACGGUGAAACUCAAAGGAAUUGACGGGGGCCCG